AAAAAAAGAAAAGAAAAAAAAAGCAUUAACUGACUCUAACCCACGUAAACAAGUUGUGAUCUCUACGCGCGAGCCUGCUACUCCAGCCUGCUACGCCACCCGCACACCCGUCGUGACAGCUUCCUAAUUUAAUAGAUGAAAGUGCUUACGCGCUAUCCGAGAGUGCAUAGUAGGUACAAUAUGAGAUCAUACUUAUUAUUGCGGGCAUAUAUUUUGGGACCGUAUCUACGCCUCACACUUUUCUCGUAUCUUUUCACUAUAGGUUGCCGAUCGCUCGCGUAUGAAAACACGGAUGCUUACACACAAGCAAUGUAAUUUACGCAAGCAGUUGAAGCUUGUUCCCCGAGGCUCUCUUGCGAUUAAUAGUCGGCUAUCGCGCGAAACUGGAGUGAUACGCCGUUAACCCGUGCGUCUAGCUGUGUUCCCCUCCGUGGCUGUCUCGCUCGAUCACGAAUUCAGCGCGGGAAAUGAAGCACACGGCAGUGCCGCGCGUAGCGGCGACAUCAGCUGAUCACGCCGGCUUGCUUCCCUUUGCUUCAACGCAACGAAACAUAUGCUUUGCAAGAUCACAUACUGCAUUACGUAAAAGUGUUACUGCUUUGGAGUCAUCCUGCUAUUCACUGAGGACGUACAUACAACUACUGUAGAGUUUUGCUUCGGCGGCAAGCAUCGAUCGUAAAGCCGCACUACUACGUCCGUGGUACAAGCAGUAGAAACCUGUCGUCUGCUAGAACAAAAAGAAAAAAAAAUCUACUGGAAAAGUAUUUACCUUGUCUCGUAUAAAUUUUUCUUGAAGACAAGUCAUUAUGUUUUAACUAUUUUGCCCAAUAACAUGCAUUCUCUAACAAUUUCACACGGCGACGUUUUCUUUUUCUUUUUCACGAACAACAAUUCAAGCUAGAUCCAUCCAUAGCCGAAGCCAGAUGUUGUUUGCCUUUGUUUGCGAGCGUCUCGUGUGUGUUCUCGUCCACAAGAAGAUUAAAGGUAAAAGCAUUAAAUUUACGUAAGGAAGCUUCGUUCCUCGUUUGUGCGGUGUGCAAAGAUUGCGCGCAAUUCCCGCUGUUCUCGGAGUGCCGAUGAAGUACGAGUCGUUCAAGGAAUCAACGAAAUGUGCGGGCGCUCGAAUGACUCCAUGGCUGACGCCCGUGGCCACCUGCUACACGCCAGUGCGAAAGAAACUAAAGCACUGUGGGGGCUGCAGGGUGGCUUUGCCAGUAGGAAGGGCGGAAAUUCCUGAAGAUGUAUUCAUCCAUGCUGCAUCAGCUGCUUGGUGUUUUCAUGGCAUCUCUGCACAUGUGCUGGGUUGAUCUUAAGCAGAAAACCAGAAGCGGCAGUGGUCUCCAGUAGAGACCCAAGGACCCCAAGCUCUCUGUGACACAAACAGGAAGGGCACUGUGGUGCAUUGAAAACCUGCGCCAGUAGUGCAUUACCAGUGCACUAUGCUGCUGUUUCAUCAAGGAGAAAGGAGGUGACCACCCUCAGAGGAACUUCAUGCUCUACAGUACAGUCCUUACUGCAUUUCGUGGUCUUGGAUCUCGGGAUUCAGUAUGCUUUUGAGUGUCACGUGGAGAAGUGUGGAAGGCGUUCCUCCAUGGAAGAGCGGUGACCGGAGCGUGAGCUGAUACCUGGCAGACAAGCUGGAUGUCAUUGCAACUGGUGGCGUAAGGAGAAGACAACAAGAUGCUUGUGUGGUUGUGCGUGCCGGGACUUGAUUGCGUCUUUUCUCAGACUACACUGUUUUUACUUGUACACAUGUAAAAUAAAUAUUGUUUGCUCAAUUUGAGA
rnacentral:lncRNA from 1 species